UGGGGUCCUCGUUUUCUUUUGGGAGAAGCAGGUGCCGGCGUUCAGCGGGCGUACGGCGAUGCCGCUCCCAGCCGGCCGGGCCCGCGGCCCCGGCGGAGAUGACGGCAGCGCUUGAAGGCGAUGCUGUUCGCCGGGACCGCGCGGCUGGCGCGCUGCUAACGCCGAGGCGGGGAGCAGCUCCACAGCUCGCUGCCCGCCCCGGAGCCACCGCCUGAGCAGCGCUGUGCCCCAGCCGGGCGCCCGCAGCCUCCUGCUGCCGUGGGGAGCAGCGCCCCGCUCCGGGGCUCCUCGGGGACCGCCGCCUUCCCCGCCGGGUUCUCCGCCGGGUUCCCCGCCGGGUUCCCCGCCGGGUUCCCCGCCGGGUUCCUGCGCCAUCCUCGGGGCUGUCCCGCUCACACGUGCCUGGCCCAGGGAAUGAAUACUGUGUACCCAGACAGCAAUAAACCUUCAGCUGCUGACCACUGACAGAAAUCUAUAGACCACCAGUUUGGGAAACCUCAGCUUUAAACUCUAAAUGAUUCAACAUUUGUUCCCUCUGAUGACACCACACAUCUGGGAAUGAAGAACUUCUUAGAGCUGAUUGGAAAUGGCAUUGCGGAGCUGAAACUUAACUGGAGGAAAUAUAUCUCCUGAAGAAGAAAAUAUAAUGCACUGUAAGGAUCUGUCUUCUGGUGAAAAAUUCAAGCCUAGAGAAAACUUGUCUGCUUUGUUAGGAAGAAUGGGUUGGACAAUUUUCUUCAAUUCCAAAGGAUAUCUGAAUGCCAUGCUGAGCCUAAUCUCUGCAGCAUGCUCUGUGCUUCUCAUCUCUUCCUGAUGCACUGCAUGGUUAUUCUGAAGGGGAGGAUAAAGAAACUGGCCACCAAGAUGGUAAUCACAAGUGGAAAUGAAGAAGAUAAAGGCAGUCAAGAAAAGGAAAGCAAAGAAGAAACCAUCUUGGCAAUGCUUGGAAUUAUUGGGACAAUUCUGAACCUCAUUGUGAUCAUUUUUGUGUAUAUUUAUACAACGUUGUAAACUAGAAGGCAUGCAACUAGACCAGAUGAAAUGGCCAUUAAGAGUGACAACAAACACUGCUGACUAUUGACAAGUUCUUUAAUCAGAAUUGACUCUGUAUUAUAUUAACACAUCAUAAAAGCACUGCCUGAAGGCAGCGAAGACUGAAGCACAAUUAAUUUAAGAAGACUUUUUCACACAGUAAUAAGCUUAACUGUUCUCUUGCCUCUCCCUUUCGGUUUGGUUUUCAGUUUGGGGGAGAAUGACUGCAGUUAUAUAAGUUGUAGCUUUGAAGAAAUCCACCAGGGAUAUGUUGUUUUAACACAAAAAAAAAAAAAAACAAAAAAAUAAGAAAAAAAAAAAAAAAAAAAGAAAGGAAAAGAAAGAAACUGCAACCUAUAUAUAAUUAGAAAUGUAUGCUGUAUACCUGCAAAGAUUGAACUCAAAGAUAGCUUCAUAGCACAGAUCAUGUGUCUGUUAGGUCAAAUGUUUUUUUCUCUUGGUUUUUGCUUUUACUUACAUUGAAUCUGACAAGCUUUUUAUUUAGAAUGAACAUAUGGUGCAAUCAUGAAAAAAAAAAACAAUUCUGUUGAGCAAGUUCUGCCUAAACCUGAUAAAAUGUUGGGAGAAAUACAUUACAUGGUUAUUUUUCCUUUCUCAUUUGCUUAACAUCUGUGUUUGUUCAUACCAAUGUUUAUAAAUAUAUAUUUUUAAUAAAUGUGCUAUAUUUUUAGCAUGAACCAAAUAUUUGGAGACACUUGUAUUCAUGCAGCUAAAUUUUGUUUGAUUAAGUGCCCCUUUUGACAAUGGAUGUUAUUUUUCUCAGCAAUUAUACUGCAGUCUUGUUUGCAGCCCUCUCACUGAGGUCUGAAGCAAGCUAACAUCAUGCUCACAUGCAUGACUUGAAGUUGGAAUGUCAGCUGAAAAGCUUUGCUGCUUAAUAUGGGAAAUCGCAAAACACUGUAAGGUGACCUUUGAAGACUGGUUGCAGAAAGAAGGUUCUAUUUAUAGUUAAAAAAAGGAAAAAGCGAAUGAAAGGGACACCAAGGCAUCUCACAAAAUAUUGCAAAAUUCAUAGAAUUUAUGGCUUUCACUAUCUGGUCAUGCUCUCUAAGUACUUGUGCUGAGAGAAGGGAGCAGAGGUUUAUACAGUUGAAAAGAGAAAUUUAUAGAGCCUAUACUGAGGGGCUUAAGUGAAAUCCAGAUUGUAAAUACAGAGUGUAUUUUAAAUGUGAGGAUUAUUAACUCUUUAUGCUUCUCUGACAUGUGCUUUAACUGAGUCGAUGCAGUGAAAUUCUCUGACUUGUGUUUUUGACAGGAAUGUACAAUGAUGAUCACCAUUUUUCUUCAGAGUUCAGUACCUAUAAAUAUAGAAAGCAUUAAAAAUAUGAGACUUUAAUUCUGCCUCAAGCUGCCUAAGUAAAUUGCCUACUAACUCUAUAUAUCCUUUUGAAAAACAGGUCAAUUAAUUGUUUACUGACUUGUGGUUUGGAUUGUAUCCUCAGAUGCACAAGGAGGAUUGGUAUUGAAGUAAGCUAGAGCUGUGAAAAUUUUAACCUUAGAAUCUUAUUAAUUUUAGUGAUCAGACCUGUCCCUCUGGAAUCAAUAAAUGAGUUUUUCACCAUUUUCCAGGGUCUAGGAAUGAUCUCAAAAAUACACAAUUUCAGUGCAGGUUAUAAAAGAAAGGCUGAAAAAUCCUGAGGGGCAUCUCUUAUAAACAGCGGUAUUUGUCUCUUAUGGUAUCAUGCAGUCAAUAACAAAACCAUUAAGAUUAGAUAAAAGGUCAGUAAAUAAAUUACAAUGCAAUCCAAUAUGAAGACUGAAGGAAAGCAAAGCAAAAAUAAUCUCGUGAAAGAUUUUUUCUUAAUGAAAACAUGACAGGGUGAGAUAGGUGAGAAAAUUAGCAGAGAUUUGAAGUAGAAAACAGCACAGAAAGCCAGUGCCAUGUGUGCCAGCACAGCUGAGGAAACAUUUGUGUUUUCACAGUGCUGCAGGUCUCAGAGAGGACAAGAAACAGUAGUGGUGCAGGACAGUGUAGCUCAGUGAAGAUUAUCUUGUUUCUUAAUUUAUAGUUAUUUAUUGAUAAUUCUAAGGAAUUAGCAAAGUCUACUUUUUGAUCAUCCUGAUGGCUAAAAUAUAUUUUACUCUAGUAGGAAACUUUUUCUUCUGUUUAAACUACUGCUGCUCACAGUCUGUGGCUUUGAGCACCUGCACAUGCUCCAGCUACCAGUCUAACUUCAGCCAUCCCCUUGCCUGCCAGGAUCUUCUCUGCAGAUAUUUCUCUUCAACUUCUUUUUUUCCAGCAAACACCACAGCAAUCUGCCCAAGGCUCAUGCUCAUCUUAUAGAGGGACAUCCUCUGAGUCAAAAGAUGAUGUCUCAUGCCAGAUACUUCUUUGCCUCCCUCUGCAUCAAAUGUUAAUAUAUCUUCUUGGGGGCAUGAAGAUUCUUAAUGAAUGAAAUUUCAUGAGGGGUUCUACUAUUAUUACAAAUUAAAGCUUGAAAAACAGCAUAGGACACCUCACCCACUGAAGCAAAGUAGGAGUUUUUGCUGCUCAGCACAGUUGCACUUAUUCAGACAUGGGCCAGCACCUUCAGCAAGUCAGGAAUGGCAAAUACUCCAAAGAAGCUGAAAUGGUGGAUCAAGGGCCUCAGGAUUCCAUGCUUUCUCUGCCGUAUUUUGCCUGUUAGUCCUGAUGUAGGCAGUGUGUCCAGGUGCAACUAUCACCUCCCACCAGCAGCAGCUGUGUGCAGUGUGCAUUGCCACAGGACUUUGAUUCCUGUGAAAUAGGAAGAAAAGUUUAUCCUAUUCCAUAAAAAGUUUAACAUUUUAUAUUUUAAUUUUACAGGUUUAUGUUCACAGAUAGUUCUAGAAAUAUCUCAGGACAAUUUCUUCUUAAGUAGAUUCAUUAAGGAUUCAUUUAAAUAAAAAUGAAGAGUUUCCUUUGAGGGAAAUUUCUUUACCUUUUAUUUGGUAUUCAUGAACACUGAUAGGGGAACAGCAUGUUUUCAAGAAUGACAGUGGAAGAGGAAUAUUUUAUACAAGAAUCUGAAGUUGUGCCUACCCAGGCAGCUGUGGGCAGGCCUGCUCUUGGCUCAGAGACAGCUGGAGCCAAAUUACCCUCAUGCUUUUUUUAUGUGAGCAGUUUUCAGCAUGCACCUAUAAGAAAUAUUGGACUAGGUAAUAUAUAUGUCAUGGCUACCUUAUAGUCAGUAACUGCUCCAUAAACAGUUGAAUAAAACUUCUCAUUACAAGAGUUGAACGGUAAAUCUGCUUUGGCAAAGAAAAAUCCAACAAUCUCAUUUUUGGCUUGACUUGUAUGUAAUGCAAACAGUUUCCAAAGUAAAUUUUUAAAAAUGAAGUAUUAGUCCAUUUGUGACAGGAACUUUCAUCUUUGCAUUUGAGUAGAAGGAAAUUAAUAUCCAAUAUCAUAAUAAGAUAUUAUUAUUAAUUAGUUCCUUAGUUGCUUCAGGCAACUAAGAAUACAAUUACAUAUCCUAUGUAGUUUGGUGGUCUGUGUCAUGGGAAUGAAACAUAUUUUCAGGAGGUGACAGAAAGAUGACACUGACCCCAUUAUUAUCUGUUGUGUUGGCUGGUGGCUACAGAAAAAAUUUCAAGAAGGGAGAAGAUAAAACUAUUUAUUAUGCACACAACAGAGGACUGGGAGAAAGGAAACAGACAGAUUACUGCCCUCCAAUCUGGUUCCUACAACAGCACUGAAAACUCAACAUCUCGGGAAGCCCAUCUUCAUACAGGAAUGUAUCAUCCUGUGUUGGCUCUCAGGGCAGUCCUUUCAGGAAUGUACCUUCUGCUCCUUCCACCUGCACUCUGCAGCAAUGUGUGGCUCACUGUGCCUGAGGAGAGUUUGAACACAAACCCAGCCUGGCAGCCUCUAGAAGCAGUUGUUUUGUUUUACUGUGGUGUAACAAUCUACUAUGGGCCUGAUUUUUAUAAUUUUAAGGACAGUAGAUCAUGAUCAUCAUGUUACUGUCUGAUAAUCUAGGGGAUACUUCACUUUGUGAAUGCCCAGAUAAAUCCUAACCCUGGCCUACAGGUAAAAUUUUGAUUCAACAGGUAUCAAAAUACAAAAGAAAGCUUCAAUUACAUCCCAACCAAACUUCAAGCAUUGCUUAAUGCGUCUUAUACUUCCAUUUAUCUAUACACUGGAGCUCACCCCAAAUGCCCCAAGAUCUCAUCUGUGUCAAGAGGUCUCAUCUCUUCUGAGUCAGAAUUACCAUUUCUGUGUGAACUAUGGCAUAUGCAGAGAAAUUGGCCAAUAGAGGGAAAGGAUAAAAAUUAACUGAAUUAGAACUACAGGGAGGCAGCACUGCAGAAUUUACUAAUUAGUUUGAUGUCUAGCUGGAGUAUUUUGUUUCCUGAUAGCCAAUAUUUUGGAGAAAAAAUAUUACUAUUCCUUGGAAAGUUUCUGGAAGAAAUAUGUCUAAUUGAAAGAAAGAACUUCAUUGAAAAUAUUUCAGCAGCAGUCCUCCAAAGAAACCACUGACCAGGACUCUGAGUGGCUCACUUCCCGAGAGAAUUUGUUUGGCAGCCCAGGAGCGCAGUGCACAUAAAUGUGAGCACCUCUUGUUUACUGAGAGGCUUUGUCUUCUCUGAAACAGAAUGCACAGAUUUACAAAGGUUUACAAAUUUAUGAAGUAGCGCAUAAUGCGACAUCAGCAACAAAAGAAUCUAUUUACCUUUACUUCCAGCAGAUGCACUGCAGACCUCUGCAGAACCUGCACUGCUUCCAUGCCUGCCUGUGUGUUUUGGAGGCUCAUCCCAGAUCUUAUAAACUCAGUGUAGCUUUCUUUCCCCACCACUGAUCCAAGAGAAACAAAACCUAUUCAGUGUGGAAACCUCCACACCAGACUGAAAUCCCACAUGCUUCCCUAUGCAUUUAUCUGCAUAUGAACCAUCUGGUGUCCAGUAAGACUUUCCUUGUCUCAGGCAUUAGGUUUGCUUAUCUGCAUUUCACCUGGGAGCUCAAACUGUGAAAGGCAAUUUGUAGAGCUGAAAGCACCCAACUGUUUCCAACAAUCUAGCUUUACAUAAUGGAGCUGUCACCUGGAGAGUGCCUGUUCACACCAUGGCACACCACACACCAUCCUCCUUGUGUGCUCCCACACUGACACAGCCUCUGUGACACCCAGGGGGUGGGGCUGGGCUGUAAGUGGCCCACACAGCCAAAAAAGCAUGCAAAUGUUCUGUGCAAAGCCUGGAUCCCAAGCCAAGCUCUGUAGAGGGAAAGGAUAUCCUGCCUUGUUGAUAAAAAGGAACUUCACUAUGCCCACUGGGACCCCUUCUUCUGCAACCAGUCCCAGUUCAGCUGAAGGUGACCCAUGAGCCUCUUGUGGCAGCUGCAGAACUUCCUUCCCCCUGAGGGAAAUAAACAGCUCUGGACUUUCCUAAUCUCCUAGAAUAAGGAACCAUGUCACUCUUGCACGGCAGAAAUAGCAGCAGGAGCAUCCAUUUCUGGCUGACAAUGACAAGGCCACCUGCCUAGGGCACUGAUGGGAGCCCUUUUCCCACCCAUCAUUCCUCACAGUCUGGCAAAUGCAAAUGAAUAACCUGAACUCCAGGUUCUUUUCCACAGACUCAGUCACCAUUCAGACUGAGGCAGACUUCUUUUAUGAUGCUGAGACUUUGUGACUUCAAAUGGCUCCUGAAGCCAACUCUUCAGGAACAUCAUAAAUGUCAUGAUACUUUCAUUUCGCCUUGAUAUCAUGAAGCUGUCACCAUAACAAGCCUUGGGUGCUGUGAGUCUCUGCCAUCAAGGUGUUAAGGGACAAGCAUUAGCAAGGGACACCACAUGGGAGCCAUGGGCAGCCACAGGUAAUGCACUGUGGCUGCUUUCCCCAGCACACACUUCGUGAGGAGCAGUGGUAUUAUGGUGGAUUGAUAUUGGUGGUGGGUAAAUGUAAUAAAAUGUUUGUGCAGCAGGGUGUGACUUCUCACCUUUAUUUCCUGCAUACUUGAUGGAAAAGACUUUAUAAAUAAUUCUGGCUUUGUCAAUUUAAAGUAUGGAUUAAAAUUUAUUAUAUAUGUUUUCAAA